rnacentral:rRNA from 1 species
UACGUAGGGGGCUAGCGUUGUCCGGAAUCAUUGGGCGUAAAGAGCGUGUAGGCGGCCCGGUAAGUCCGCUGUAAAAGUCAAAGGCUCAACCUUUGAAUGUCAGUGGAUACUGCCGGGCUAGAGUCCGGAAGAGGCGAGUGGAACUCCUGGUGGUAGCGGUGGAAUGCGCAGAUAUCAGGAAGAACACCUAUGGCGAAGACAGCACUCUGGGGACGGUACUGACGCUGAGACGCGAAAGCGUGGGGAGCGAACAGG